ACUAAGCGUACACGGUGGAUGCCUUGGCAGUCAGAGGCGAUGAAGGACGUAUUAACUUGCGAUAAGCCCAGAUUAGGUAGUAAAAACCAUUUGAGUCUGGGAUUUCCGAAUGGGGAAACCCACGUGCAUAAGCACGUAUCAUUAACUGAAUACAUAGGUUAAUGAGGCGAACCGGGGGAACUGAAACAUCUAAGUACCCCGAGGAAAAGAAAUCAACCGAGAUUCCGAAAGUAGCGGCGAGCGAAAUUGGACUAGCCCUUAAGCUUUACACACGUUAGACGAACGGUCUGGAAAGUCCGACGAUACAGGGUGAUAGUCCCGUAGUUGACGAUGUGUGUUCAGUGAAAUCGAGUAGGGCGGGACACGUGAUAUCCUGUCUGAAUAUGGGGGGACCAUCCUCCAAGGCUAAAUACUACUGACUGACCGAUAGUGAACCAGUACCGUGAGGGAAAGGCGAAAAGAACCCCUGUGAGGGGAGUGAAAUAGAACCUGAAACCGUGUACGUACAAGCAGUAGGAGCACCUUCGUGGUGUGACUGCGUACCUUUUGUAUAAUGGGUCAGCGACUUAUAUUCAGUAGCAAGGUUAACCAUCUAGGGGAGCCGUAGAGAAAUCGAGUCUUAACUGGGCGUCGAGUUGCUGGAUAUAGACCCGAAACCAGGUGAUCUAGCCAUGGGCAGGUUGAAGGUUGAGUAACAUCAACUGGAGGACCGAACCGACUAAUGUUGAAAAAUUAGCGGAUGACUUGUGGCUAGGGGUGAAAGGCCAAUCAAACCUGGAGAUAGCUGGUUCUCCCCGAAAUCUAUUUAGGUAGAGCCUCGGAUGAAUACUACUGGGGGUAGAGCACUGUUAAGGCUAGGGGGUCAUCCCGACUUACCAACCCUUUGCAAACUCCGAAUACCAGUAAGUACUAUCCGGGAGACACACGGCGGGUGCUAACGUCCGUCGUGGAGAGGGAAACAACCCAGACCGCCAGCUAAGGUCCCAAAUUAUAGCUAAGUGGGAAACGAUGUGGGAAGGCUUAGACAGCUAGGAUGUUGGCUUAGAAGCAGCCAUCAUUUAAAGAAAGCGUAAUAGCUCACUAGUCGAGUCGGCCUGCGCGGAAGAUGUAACGGGGCUAAGCUAUAAACCGAAGCUGCGGCAAUGACUUUUAGUCAUUGGGUAGGGGAGCGUUCUGUAAGCCGUUGAAGGUGUGUUGUAAAGCAUGCUGGAGGUAUCAGAAGUGCGAAUGCUGACAUGAGUAACGAUAAAGGGGGUGAAAAACCUCCUCGCCGGAAGACCAAGGGUUCCUGUCCAACGUUAAUCGGGGCAGGGUAAGUCGACCCCUAAGGCGAGGCCGAAAGGCGUAGUCGAUGGGAAACGGGUUAAUAUUCCCGUACUUCUUACAAUUGCGAUGGGGGGACGGAGAAGCUAGUGGGCCUGGCGACGUUGUCCAGGUUCAGUGCGUAGCUUGAGAGUAGUAAUCCGCUCUCUUUAAGCUGAGACACGACGUCGAGCACCUACGGGUGUGAAGUCAUUGAUGCCAUGCUUCCAGGAAAAGCCUCUAAGCUUCAGAUUGUAAGGAAUCGUACCCCAAACCGACACAGGUGGUCGGGUAGAGAAUACCAAGGCGCUUGAGAGAACUCGGGUGAAGGAACUAGGCAAAAUGGUACCGUAACUUCGGGAGAAGGUACGCUCUUGACGGUGAAGUCCCUUGCGGAUGGAGCUAUUGAGAGUCGCAGAUACCAGGUGGCUGCAACUGUUUAUUAAAAACACAGCACUGUGCAAAAUCGUAAGAUGACGUAUACGGUGUGACGCCUGCCCGGUGCCGGAAGGUUAAUUGAUGGGGUUAGUACUUGUACGAAGCUCUUGAUCGAAGCCCCGGUAAACGGCGGCCGUAACUAUAACGGUCCUAAGGUAGCGAAAUUCCUUGUCGGGUAAGUUCCGACCUGCACGAAUGGCGUAAUGAUGGCCACGCUGUCUCCACCCGAGACUCAGUGAAAUUGAAAUCGCUGUGAAGAUGCAGUGUACCCGCGGCUAGACGGAAAGACCCCGUGAACCUUUACUACAGCUUGGCACUGAACAUUGACCCUACAUGUGUAGGAUAGGUGGGAGGCUUUGAAACCGGUACGCCAGUAUCGGUGGAGCCGUCCUUGAAAUACCACCCUUGUAGUGUUGAUGUUCUAACGUUGACCCCUUAUCGGGGUUGCGGACAGUGCCUGGUGGGUAGUUUGACUGGGGCGGUCUCCUCCCAAAGAGUAACGGAGGAGCACGAAGGUGGGCUAAUCACGGUUGGACAUCGUGAGGUUAGUGCAAUGGCAUAAGCCCGCUUGACUGCGAGAAUGACAAUUCGAGCAGGUGCGAAAGCAGGUCAUAGUGAUCCGGUGGUUCUGAAUGGAAGGGCCAUCGCUCAACGGAUAAAAGGUACUCCGGGGAUAACAGGCUGAUACCGCCCAAGAGUUCAUAUCGACGGCGGUGUUUGGCACCUCGAUGUCGGCUCAUCACAUCCUGGGGCUGAAGUCGGUCCCAAGGGUAUGGCUGUUCGCCAUUUAAAGUGGUACGCGAGCUGGGUUUAGAACGUCGUGAGACAGUUCGGUCCCUAUCUGCCGUGGGCGUUGGAAGAUUGAAGGGGGCUGCUCCUAGUACGAGAGGACCGGAGUGGACGAACCUCUGGUGUUCGGGUUGUGUCGCCAGACGCAUUGCCCGGUAGCUAAGUUCGGAAUCGAUAACCGCUGAAAGCAUCUAAGCGGGAAGCGAGCCCUGAGAUGAGUCUUCCCUGACUCCUUGAGAGUCCUAAAGGGUUGUUCGAGACUAGAACGUUGAUAGGCAGGGUGUGUAAGCGUUGUGAGGCGUUGAGCUAACCUGUACUAAUUGCCCGUGAGGCUUAACC
rnacentral:rRNA from 1 species